rnacentral:rRNA from 1 species
AUAAUACCGGAUAUCGUGGGGCCCUGCAUAGGGCCUUGACAAAAGAUUUAUCGGCAGGGGAUGAGCUUGCGUCCGAUUAGCUAGUUGGCGGGGCAACGGCCCACCAAGGCGACGAUCGGUAGCCGGCCUGAGAGGGUGAUCGGCCACAUUGGGACUGAGAUACGGCCCAGACUCCUACGGGAGGCAGCAGUAGGGAAUAUUGCACAAUGGGGGAAACCCUGAUGCAGCAACGCCACGUGUGGGAAGAAGCAUUUCGGUGUGUAAACCACUGUCGUGAGGGAAUAAGGCUAUUUUUCGGAGUAGUUGAAUGUACCUCGAGAGGAAGCACCGGCGAACUUCGUGCCAGCAGCCGCGGUAAUACGAGGGGUGCAAGCGUUGUUCGGAAUCACUGGGCGUAAAGGGAGCGCAGGCGGAAGCUCAAGCGGAUUGUACAAUACCGGGGCCCAACCCCGGACCUGCAGUCCGAACUGGGUUUCUUGGAUAGUUCAGGGGCAAGCGGAAUUCCUGGUGUAGCGGUGGAAUGCGUAGAGAUCAGGAAGAACACCGAUGGCGAAGGCAGCUUGCUGGGGACUUAUCGACGCUCAUGCUCGAAAGUGCGGGUAGCAAACAGGAUUAGAUACCCUGGUAGUCCGCACCGUAAGCAAUGCAUACUGGGUGUCCGGGGGUU